rnacentral:rRNA from 1 species
CCUGGGNACUGCGUUCUGAACUGGGUAGCUAGAGUAUNUCAGAGGGGGGUAGAAUUCCACGUGUAGCAGUGAAAUGCGUAGAGAUGUGGAGGAAUACCGAUGGCGAAGGCAGCCCCCUGGGAUAAUACUGACGUUCAUGCUNGAAAGCGUGGGUAGCAAACAGGAUUAGAUACCCUGGUAGUCCACGCCCUAAACGAUGUCGAUUAGCUGUUGGGCAACUUGAUUGCUUAGUAGCGUAGCUAACGCGUGAAAUCGACCGCCUGGGGAGUACGGUCGCAAGAUUAAAACUCAAAGGAAUUGACGGGGACCCGCACAAGCGGUGGAUGAUGUGGAUUAAUUCGAUGCAACGCGAAGAACCUUACCUGGUCUUGACAUGUACGGAACCUUCCAGAGACGGAGGGGUGCCUUCGGGAACCGUAACACAGGUGCUGCAUGGCUGUCGUCAGCUCGUGUCGUGAGAUGUUGGGUUAAGUCCCGCAACGAGCGCAACCCUUGUCAUUAGUUGCCAUCAUUAAGUUGGGCACUCUAAUGAGACUGCCGGUGACAAACCGGAGGAAGGUGGGGAUGACGUCAAGUCCUCAUGGCCCUUAUGACCAGGGCUUCACACGUCAUACAAUGGUCGGUACAGAGGGUAGCCAAACCGCGAGGUGGAGCCAAUCCCAGAAAACCGAUCGUAGUCCGGAUUGCACUCUGCAACUCGAGUGCAUGAAGUCGGAAUCGCUAGUAAUCGCAGGUCAGCAUACUGCGGUGAAUACGUUCCCGGGUCUUGUACACACC